rnacentral:rRNA from 1 species
UACGGGGGAGCAAGCGUUGUUCGGAUUUACUGGGCGUAAAGGGCGCGUAGGCGGCCACCGCAAGUCGACUGUGAAAUCUCCGGGCUUAACCCGGAAAGGUCAGCCGAUACUGCGGGGCUAGAGUGCAGAAGGGGCAACUGGAAUUCUCGGUGUAGCGGUGAAAUGCGUAGAUAUCGAGAGGAACACCUGCGGCGAAGGCGGGUUGCUGGGCUGACACUGACGCUGAGGCGCGAAAGCUAGGGGAGCGGACGGG